rnacentral:rRNA from 1 species
GACGUAGGGCGCGAGCGUUGUCCGGAUUUAUUGGGCGUAAAGAGCUCGUAGGCGGCUUGUCGCGUCGGCUGUGAAAACCCGUGGCUCAACUGUGGGCGGGCAGCUGAUACGGGCAGGCUGGAGUUCGGUAGGGGAGACUGGAAUUCCUGGUGUAGCGGUGAAAUGCGCAGAUAUCAGGAAGAACACCCGUGGCUAAGGCGGCUCUCUAGUACGGUACUGACGCUGAGACGCGAAAGCGUGGGGAGCGAACAGG